UUGUAGAUAGCUUAAUUAUUAAAGCUCUGGAUUCUUACUCUGGUGAUGUCUUUUGACUCUAUAAG
rnacentral:tRNA from 1 species